rnacentral:rRNA from 1 species
UGGGGAAUAUUGGACAAUGGGCGAAAGCCUGAUCCAGCAAUGCCGCGUGAGUGAAGAAGGCCUUAGGGUUGUAAAGCUCUUUUAAUAGGGAAGAUAAUGACGGUACCUAUAGAAUAAGCACCGGCUAACUUCGUGCCAGCAGCCGCGGUAAUACGAAGGGUGCUAGCGUUGUUCGGAAUUACUGGGCGUAAAGAGCGCGUAGGCGGCUAUAUAAGUUGGAAGUGAAAUCCCGAAGCUUAACUUCGGAACUGCUUUCAAGACUGUAUAGCUAGAAAUUGGUAGAGGAUAGUGGAAUUCCUAGUGUAGAGGUGAAAUUCGUAGAUAUUAGGAGGAACACCGGAGGCGAAAGCGACUAUCUGGGCCAAAUUUGACGCUGUGGCGCGAAAGCGUGGGGAGCAAA